rnacentral:rRNA from 1 species
AGACGUAGGGCGCAAGCGUUGUCCGGAUUUAUUGGGCGUAAAGAGCUCGUAGGCGGCCUGUCGCGUCAACCGUGAAAUCCCGCGGCUUAACUGUGGGCGUGCGGUUGAUACGGGUGGGCUGGAGUUCGGUAGGGGAGACUGGAAUUCCUGGUGUAGCGGUGAAAUGCGCAGAUAUCAGGAGGAACACCGGUGGCGAAGGCGGGUCUCUGGGCCGAUACUGACGCUGAGGAGCGAAAGCGUGGGGAGCGAACAGGAUUAGAUACCCUGGUAGUCCACGCUGUAAACGUUGGGCGCUAGGUGUGGGGGGCCUUCCCGGUUUCCUGUGCCGUAGCUAACGCAUUAAGCGCCCUGCCUGGGGAGUACGGCCGCAAGGCUAAA